rnacentral:lncRNA from 1 species
UCUCUAUCUCUCUAACAGAUGCUCUCUAACCCUUCAUCUCUGUAAAACCUUUUGGUUAUCUUCGCCUUCUCCGAUGACCAUCGCCUCUCCGGCUCACUCCUCACUCACUUCUCUCGCCUCCAGCAACCACGAAGUCCUUGUAUCACUGUUUUCUCUCUAAUUUCUGAAGCUAGCAGCUUCUGCCAUGAAGGAGGUCACUGAAGCUUUAUUUGGGUCUAUUUUCCGACUUUUCACCGGUGGUCUUUGAACGAUGAUGCCUUAUAUGGCAUUGUAUACGAGUUUCACAGCCAGGUUCUUUGUUUUCCCUAAUUUGUUUAAAAACCCUAAUUUUUCCUCUUUAAUCUCUACUUUUUCAAAACAACUCUUAGUCCAAUUUUUGUUUUCUACUCUAUUUUUAUUUAGAUUUGCCGGUUAUUUCAAAUUUUUCGGACGAUCACCACUCUUUCAGAUUAGGGUUUCUAACCCCUUCUUCAAAAUUGUUUCUUCUACUCUUUCUGAGUGGUCUAUAUUCAUUUGUAUUUGUUUAUUUCACUUGUUUGUUUGUUUUCCUUGUUAACCUGGGUUUCAUACUGUAAUUUCUAUUGCUAGGGUUUCUUAACCCCUUUUCGAAACACUUUACUUUUCUGAUUUUUGAGUACCAAUCCAUAACUCUUAGUACUACUUCUAAGUAUUUUGUUAAAAUCUGAUGAAUACCCUAACCCUACAUGUUUAUAUCUCUAUUUGCCUGUUUGCAUGUUUCUUCUGGUUUCUUCUUUGAGUUUCAUGUUCUCUGCUUUAAUCUUGCUGCUAGUGUUUCAUUCCCUACCAUGCUGUGUUCUUCUCUUAAGGUUUCUGGUUGUUUAUAUGGUGAUUUUAUACUGACUCUUACAAUCUGUUUAAGGCUGUGAUUACUGGCUUUUAAAAUUGUGAUUUUGUAUUCUCUUUACAGUUGAUAUUGCUUUUGAAUUUUUUUCCUCAAUCAGUGGGCUACAUACCUCAAUUAAUAAUUAAUUUCCUAGGUUUUCAAUCUCGAAAAUUAUUUUCCAUAAUUAAAGUUGUACUUUUCCUUAUAUAUGUGUACAAGUAUGUCUACUUAUUUGCUUGACAUAUUUCCCU